rnacentral:lncRNA from 1 species
UGCUGCAAGUGGAGUGUGGACGCGGACAGCGGCGCGGCGCUGCUGCUGCUGGCUGGGGAGAAGGCGCUGGUGCGGGUGCUGGACGUCAGCCGGGGCUGCCUGUUGCACGUGAGUUGCGGGGAUGAAUUCUAGAUACCAGCGUGGGGUUGGGUUGGGUGGGGUGGUUUACUCGCAUCCCCAAGAAACCAAGACCCAGGACCAGCCUACAGUGCGCGGUGGGGUAUUCGCCUGACCUGGGCGCCGGGCCGCGGGUGGCGGCGGGGACGCGCACACCUGUUGUUGUAAUGCGGCCGCACAACGCAUGAUGCAGCCCCGCGCGGGAGAAAGGCUCUUGGAUCAUACCACGCACACCUGCGCGAAAGGUUUCGGAUCAUACCACAGCACAUGCGCCAUGGCCAGGUCGCUCAGCACACACACCGUGAGACGCAGGCACAACUUUCUAUGCAAAGACACAGCAGUGUGCACGCAUUUGUGUCGAACUGGUACUGACACUGGACGCUUUGACGAGCUGCCGCAGACGUUUGCGGGCCACGGCAAGUCCAUCAACGACAUCGCGGUGCACCCCGCGCGGCCGCACCUGUUCCUGACGGCCUCUGAGGACGAGAGCGUGCGGCUGUGGAACCUGAGGUGCGGAGGGCCGUGAGCGGGGGAAACUGAUGUCAAGGACGUGUGCGGGGGGGCGGGGGGCGCGGAUGAGGAAAGCACCUGAUGCUUGCGCGCGUAUGUCUGGGAGCACAAGGGAAGAGACGCGCCGGACUGGGCAUGCGACUGUGCGCGCUACCCAGGGAAGCGACAGGCACGCGUGUGUACUGUAUGAUGUCGCCCUGCCUGGGCAUGGACCGCUCUGUCCGCGCCUGACCCUCACUGCCAACCGCCAACCACCAACCACCUGCAACCACCCGGCCGCAGGUCUCGCACGUGUGUGGCCAUUUUCGCGGGCGAGGGUGGGCACCGCAACAAGGUGCUCAGCCUGGUGCGUUGGGGGUGGGGGUGUUGGGGGGGGGGGUUGGCGUUGGUGGACGCCCUAGCCCGACGAAUGGGUCCCAAAUGUAAAAACAAUUGUGGCGACAUCCUGGCGUUGCGCUGGCAUUGGUAUUGGUACUGAAGGGGUAGGGAUGAAUGGAAGGUUGGGUGGGUCGGUGGUUUGUGGGCGUGGAUGUUUUCCUUCGGUUCCCAGUUUGACACACGCACAGCGAGACACGACCCCCGCCCUGACAAACACGCCACGCACACACACGCGCGCGCGCCUCACAGGACUUCCACCCAUGGGAUGGCCACCGCUUUCUGUCCAGUGGCAUGGACAACGCAGUCAAGGUUCGCGAGGGGCGCGGGGGCCGGUGGGGCUGACGGGGCCGGCAUGCGCCAACCACACACCGUGCAUCUCAGCAUCUGUUUGCGGAUGGGGCGUAUGCUUUCCUAAACGCUUCAACAACACAUACCUGCAUCGCGUGUGAGUUGGUGCCCAGCUGUGGAUGCCACUCCGCAUCACCUCGCUUUCUCCCCCCCUUCAGAUCUGGAGCCUGGGCCCCAUUGAGCGCCUGAUUGAC